UACAGAGGUCCCAAGCGUUGUUCGGAUUCACUGGGCGUAAAGGGUGCGUAGGUGGCCGGGUAAGUCUGACGUGAAAUCUCCGAGCCUAACUCGGAAACUGCAUCGGAUACUAUCCGGCUUGAGGAUUGGAGGGGGGACUGGAAUACUUGGUGUAGUAGUGAAAUGCGUAGAUAUCAAGUGGAACACCAGUGGCGAAGGCGAGUCCCUGGACAAUUACUGACACUGAGGCACGAAAGCUAGGGGAGCAAACAGG
rnacentral:rRNA from 1 species